rnacentral:rRNA from 1 species
GGUGAACGCUGGCGGCGUGUUUAAGACAUGCAAGUCGAACGGCAGUCUUCGGUCUGUAGUGGCGCACGGGUGAGUAACGCGUAACUGACCUACCCCAAAGUCGCGGAUAACGAUUCGAAAGAAUCGCUAAUACGUGAUGUGCUGUCAGAUUGUGUUCUGCCAGUAAAGAUUGAUUGCUUUGGGAUGGGGUUGCGUUCCAUCAGCUAGUUGGUGGGGUAAAGGCCCACCAAGGCGACGACGGAUAGCCGGCCUGAGAGGGUGGCCGGCCGCAGGGGCACUGAGACGCGGGUCCCACUCCUACGGGAGGCAGCAGUUAGGAAUCUUCCACAAUGGGCGAAAGCCUGAUGGAGCGACGCCGCGUGAGGGAUGAAGGUCUUCGGAUCGUAAACCUCUGAAUCAGGGACGAAAGACACUUCGGUGGGAUGACGGUACCUGAGUAAUAGCACCGGCUAACUCCGUGCCAGCCGCCGCCGUAACAC